CAACGUACCACCCAGUCCAGGAGUUGAAAUCAUGAUUGCUAGAUUGCAAGUGCAACACCCUAACCACUAAGCCAUGUGCCCUCACUAAUAUGAUAUUCAAGUACC